GCUCCUUUGACGUUAGCGGCGGACGGGUGAGUAACACGUGGGCAACCUACCUUAUAGUUUGGGAUAACUCCGGGAAACCGGGGCUAAUACCGAAUAAUCUGUUUCACCUCAUGGUGAAAUAUUGAAAGACGGUUUCGGCUGUCGCUAUAGGAUGGGCCCGCGGCGCAUUAGCUAGUUGGUGAGGUAACGGCUCACCAAGGCGACGAUGCGUAGCCGACCUGAGAGGGUGAUCGGCCACACUGGGACUGAGACACGGCCCAGACUCCUACGGGAGGCAGCAGUAGGGAAUCUUCCACAAUGGGCGAAAGCCUGAUGGAGCAACGCCGCGUGAGUGAAGAAGGAUUUCGGUUCGUAAAACUCUGUUGUAAGGGAAGAACAAGUACAGUAGUAACUGGCUGUACCUUGACGGUACCUUAUUAGAAAGCCACGG
rnacentral:rRNA from 1 species